rnacentral:rRNA from 1 species
AUUUAAAAUUAAUUUAAAUUUAUUAGGUAAAAAUUAAAUUUAAAUAAAUAAAUAGAAAUUUAUAGAUUUUAGUAUUAAUUAGAAAAAAAAAAUUAUAAGAAUUUUAUUGUAAAAGUUUUUUGAAAUUUUAAAAAGAAAAUUUAAUUUAUUGUACCUUUUGUAUCAGGGAUUAUUAAAAUAAAAUAUUAUAAUUAAUAGAUCUCGAAUUAAAAAGAGCUAAUUUAAUAUUAUAGUUAAUGUGGAAAAAUUAUUAUAAAUAUUAGAUUUGAAGUGAAAUGUUAAACGAUUUUUAAGAUAUCUAGUUUUUUAAUAAAAAAAUUUAAUUUUUUUAUAAAUUUAAUUAUAAAUUAUUUAAAAUUUAUAAUUAUUUUAUAAUUUAUAAUUUAUGGGAUUAACUAUAAAUUUAAAUUAAAUAAUUUAAGAAUUAAAUUAAGAAUUUAGAGAUUAAAAUUUUUAAAAUUUGAAAGGGUGUAAUAAUUUAUUAAUAUAUUGAUGAGUUAAAUUUUUAAGAAUAUUAAUUUGUUAUUAAAAUAAAUUUACGAAUUUUAUAAAAUUUAUAAUAAUGAUAAUAUAAGUAUAAAAAAUUGUUAAAUAAAUUUAAUUAAUAAAUUGAUCUAAGGAAUUAAGCAAAAUUUAAAAUUCACUUGUUUAUCAAAAACAUGUUUUUUUGAAAUUAAUGAAAAAUUUUCUCUGCCCAAUGAUAAAUUAAAUGGCCGCAGUAUUUUGACUGUGCAAAGGUAGCAUAAUAAAUAGUUUUUUAAUUGAAGACUUGAAUGAAUGAGAGGAUGAAAUUUUAACUGUCUCAAUUUUAAAAUAAAACUUUAUUUAAAGUUAAAAUUCUUAAAUUAGUUUAAGGGACGAGAAGACCCUAUAGAAUUUAAAAAUUUAAAUUAAUUUAAAAAUUAAAAUUAAAUUUAAUUUAAUAAAAUAUUUUUUUAUUGGGAUGAUAUUAAAAUUUAAAAAACUUUUAAUUGUUUAAUUCAAUAAUAUAUGAAUUAUAGAAUAUUUUAAUAAUAAAAAGAAAAAAUUACCUUAGGGAUAACAGCGUAAUAAAUUUUUAAAGUUCAAAUUAAAAAAUUUGAUUGCGACCUCGAUGUUGAAUUAAAAUAAAAUUUAAGUGAAGAAGCUUAAAAUUUAAGUCUGUUCGACUUUUAAAAUUUUACAUGAUUUG